UACGUAGGGUGCAAGCGUUGUCCGGAAUGAUUGGGCGUAAAGAGCUCGUCGGCGGUCUGUCGCGUCGGAUGUGAAAACUCGGGGCUCAACCCCGAGCCUGCAUUCGAUACGGGCAGACUAGAGUUCGGUAGGGGAGACUGGAAUUCCUGGUGUAGCGGUGAAAUGCGCAGAUAUCAGGAGGAACACCGGUGGCGAAGGCGGGUCUCUGGGCCGAUACUGACGCUGAGGAGCGAAAGCGUGGGGAGCGAACAGG
rnacentral:rRNA from 1 species